UUUACCCUGCGGUGUUCGAGAUUACCAGGUGUGAUUCCCGGACCGAUAUUGUGUUAGCUAAGGGGGCUUGGUUGUGUGGGGAAGAUGACAUGCCUUAAUUGGAAGUCAGACGCUCCUGCGAUGGUCACCCGCCCGUUACCGAAAGGGAACGGGAUAUCCGCCUAAACGGCACUAGUGGGGUAAUA
rnacentral:other from 1 species